rnacentral:tRNA from 1 species
GCUCUCGUAGUUCAACGGAUAGAACAUGGGUUUGCGGAGCCCAGGAUUGAGGUUCGAUUCCUCACGAGAGCA